rnacentral:rRNA from 1 species
GAUGAACGCUGGCGGCGUGCCUAAUACAUGCAAGUCGAGCGAACAGACGAGGAGCUUGCUCCUCUGACGUUAGCGGCGGACGGGUGAGUAACACGUGGAUAACCUACCUAUAAGACUGGGAUAACUUCGGGAAACCGGAGCUAAUACCGGAUAAUAUAUUGAACCGCAUGGUUCAAUAGUGAAAGACGGUUUUGCUGUCACUUAUAGAUGGAUCCGCGCCGCAUUAGCUAGUUGGUAAGGUAACGGCUUACCAAGGCAACGAUGCGUAGCCGAGCUGAGAGGGUGAUCGGCCACACUGGAGCUGAGACGCGGUCCAGACUCCUACGGGAGGCAGCAGUAGGGACUCUUCCGCAAUGGGCGAAAGCCUGACGGAGCAGCGCCGCGUGAGUGAUGAAGGUCUUCGGGUCGUAAAACUCUGUUAUUAGGGAAGAACAAAUGUGUAAGUAACUAUGCGCGUCUUGACGGUACCUAAUCAGAAGACCACGGCUAACUACGU